rnacentral:rRNA from 1 species
UAGUGGCGACCGGGUGCGUAACACGUAGCUGACCUGCCCCUCAGCGGGGGACAACAGUGCGAAAGCGCUGCUAAUACCGCAUACGCUUGGGAAGCCUAGAAUUUCCCAAGGAAACUUACGGGGUUGAGGGAGGGAGCUGCGGCCCAUCAGGUAGUUGGUGAGGUAGUGGCUCACCAAGCCGACGACGGGUAGGGGGCCUGAGAGGGUGGUCCCCCACACUGGGACUGACACACGGCCCAGACUCCUACGGGAGGCAGCAGUAAGGGAUAUUGCGCAAUGGGCGAAAGCCUGACGCAGCAACGCCGCGUGGAGGAUGACGGCCUUCGGGUUGUAAACUCCUUUUGAGGCUGACGAGGAAGGACGGUAAGCCUCGAAGAAGUCACGGCUAACUACGUGCCAGCAGCCGCGGUAAAACGUAGGUGGCGAGCGUUAUCCGGAUUUACUGGGCGUAAAGCGUGUGCAGGCGGGGCCACAAGUGGUGUAUGAAAUCGCUCGGCUUAACCGGGCGCGGUUAUGCCAGACUGUGGUUCUGGAGUGCGGGAGAGGGGCGUGGAAUUCCGGGUGUAGUGGUGAAAUGCGUAGAGAUCCGGAGGAACCCCAGAGGCGAAGGCGGCGCCCUGGCCCGACAC